rnacentral:rRNA from 1 species
ACUCCUACGGGAGGCAGCAGUGGGGAAUUUUGCGCAAUGGGCGAAAGCCUGACGCAGCAACGCCGCGUGAGUGAUGAAGGCUUUCGGGUCGUAAAGCUCUGUCAAUGGGAAAGAAGUGUAUUGCAGCUAAUAUCUGCGAUACUUGACGGUACCCAUAAAGGAAGCACCGGCUAACUCCGUGCCAGCAGCCGCGGUAAUACGGGGGGUGCAAGCGUUGUUCGGAAUUAUUGGGCGUAAAGCGCGUGUAGGCGGUUUGUUAAGUCUGUUGUGAAAGCCCUGGGCUCAACCCAGGAAGUGCACUGGAUACUGGCAGACUUGAAUACGGGAGAGGGUAGUGGAAUUCCUGGUGUAGGAGUGAAAUCCGUAGAUAUCAGGAGGAACACCGGUGGCGAAGGCGGCUACCUGGACCGAUAUUGACGCUGAGACGCGAAAGCGUGGGUAGCAAACAGGAUUAGAUACCCUGGUAGUCCACGCCGUAAACGUUGAGAACUAGGUGUCGCGGGUA